ACUUCCGCCGGGGCCUCUCACUGUGUCCGGGUCAGCUGCUGCCGCCGACGCCGUACCGCUGCGGCCGGGGGAUUGGGCCGGGGUCUCCACCGCCGACCGAGGGGAGCGGGCUCCGCUCGGCCCUGCUUUUUGCGACCUGGCCGUCAGCCCCACGUCGCCGGCCUGGAGGGGCGAAGAGGACGAGGGGGCCAAGGCUUCCUCCGGGGACAUUGGCUCCCUGGAUUAUCAAGAGUUUGUAGUUGACAUUGAAUCCAGGCUGAGGAUGGAAGGUGUGGAACUUAAAGAAGAAUGGCAAGAUGAAGAUUUUCCGAUACCUUUACCAGAAGAUGAUAGUAUUGAAGCAGAUAUACUAGCUAUAACUGGACCAGAGGACCAGCCUGGCUCACUAGAAGUUAAUGGAAAUAAAGUGAGAAAGAAACUAAUGGCUCCAGACAUUAGCCUGACACUGGAUCCUAGUGAUGGCUCUGUAUUGUCAGAUGAUUUGGAUGAAAGUGGGGAGAUUGACUUAGAUGGCUUAGACACACCGUCAGAGAAUAGUAAUGAGUUUGAGUGGGAAGAUGAUCUUCCAAAACCCAAGACUACUGAAGUAAUUAGGAAAGGCUCAAUUACUGAAUACACAGCAGCAGAGGAAAAAGAAGAUGGACGACGCUGGCGUAUGUUCAGGAUUGGAGAACAGGACCACAGGGUUGAUAUGAAGGCAAUUGAACCCUAUAAAAAAGUUAUCAGCCAUGGGGGUAAGAGUUACUGAGGAUUUUUCAGAUUGUUUAAUGCAAUAUCAGAAUUCUUUUUUUUUGGAAGGAUAUCUGUUUAUUAAGAGUAAAUAAGCCCUGU
rnacentral:sRNA from 1 species